rnacentral:precursor_RNA from 7 species
GAUGCAGCCAAGGACACAUGGCUGGCAGGGAAACCGUUACCAUUACUGAGUUUAGUAAUGGUAACGGUUCUGCUGACAGCCAGGCAUGCAGCGAGGAAUGGG